ensembl:snoRNA SNORD79 Small nucleolar RNA SNORD79
UACUGUUUAUGAUGAUUGUUAUUAAUACAAUGGGAAUCUCUCUGAAUAAGAGUGAAAGACAUACUUGUACUGAAACAGUA